rnacentral:lncRNA from 1 species
AAAGUUGUACUCAUUGGGAAAUAAUUUUCGUAAAAUGAGCAUGCAUGUUUUUGAAAUCAAUUCAUUCGUUUACACUCUCUUUCUUAUGCCAUCAUGAAAAUAAAAAUAAAAAGCAAUCAAACCUUUUAUUCUCACUUCUCAUCUAUUAACAAACUUAUGAGGAAAAUGAUGUAAAAAACAACUUAAUUUGCUGACGUAUGCUUUUCAUAGUAAGACCCAGCUGACGAUGUAAGGUAUUAUUUCACUCCCCAAACACUGGAGAAAUAAGGAGAUAA